UCCACUGUGAGAUGGGAGCUGAAGGAAAUUCGAGGUAAACUGCUGAGCUGAUGUACAAAAAGUGGCUAGAAGGCUGGACGAGCUGGACAAGAUUGCUAAACAAAUCGAAAUCCGAUACUAUCUGAUCAUAUAAAUAAAGGAUUACACAGCGUACAAAAGAUGACCCCGCAUUGGCUUAGUGAGAAAAUGUUUACU
rfam:Lactobacillus vini DSM 20605 Scaffold1, whole genome shotgun sequence.